GGGGAUGUAGCUCAGUUGGUAGAGCGCCUGCCUUGCACGCAGGAGGUCACCGGUUCGAAUCCGGUCAUCUCCA
rnacentral:tRNA from 1 species